UACGGAGGGUGCAAACGUUGCUCGGAAUUAUUGGGCGUAAAGCGCAUGUAGGCGGCCGAAUAAGUCGGGUGUGAAAGCCCAGGGCUUAACCCUGGAAGUGCACUCGAAACUGCUCGGCUUGAAUAUGGAAGAGGGUCGCGGAAUUCCCGGUGUAGAGGUGAAAUUCGUAGAUAUCGGGAGGAACACCGGUGGCGAAGGCGGCGACCUGGGCCAAUAUUGACGCUGAGAUGCGAAAGCGUGGGGAGCGAACAGG
rnacentral:rRNA from 1 species